rnacentral:piRNA from 1 species
UGCAAAUAGGCCUUACAGUAUGGUGGGCAGU